GUGCCAGCAGCCGCGGUAAUACGUAGGUGGCAAGCGUUAUCCGGAAUUAUUGGGCGUAAAGCGCGCGUAGGCGGUUUUUAAGUCUGAUGUGAAAGCCCACGGCUCAACCGUGGAGGGUCAUUGGAAACUGGAAAACUUGAGUGCAGAAGAGGAAAGUGGAAUUCCAUGUGUAGCGGUGAAAUGCGCAGAGAUAUGGAGGAACACCAGUGGCGAAGGCGACUUUCUGGUCUGUAACUGACGCUGAUGUGCGAAAGCGUGGGGAUCAAACAGG
rnacentral:rRNA from 1 species